GACGAACGCUGGCGGCGCGCUUAACACAUGCAAGUCGAACGGAAAGGCCUGCUUUCCCUUGUGGAUUGCGGGUACUCGAGUGGCGAACGGGUGAGUAACACGUGAGUGAUCUGCCCCCAACUUGGGUAUAAGCCUGGGAAACUGGGUCUAAUUCCCGAUAGGACUGCAGGGUGGUGCCUGUGGUGGAAAACGAUUUUCUAGUGGUUGGGGAUGAGCUCGCGGCCUAUCAGCUUGUUGGUGGGGUAAUGGCCUACCAAGGCGGCGACGGGUAGCCGGCCUGGGAGGGGGGACGGCCGCAUUGGAACUGGGAUACGGCCCAGACUCCUACGGGAGGCAGCAGUGGGGAAUAUUGCACAAUGGGCGGAAGCCUGAUGCAGCGACGCCGCGUGGGGGAUGACGGCCUUCGGGUGGUAAACUCCUUUCGACCGCGAGGAAGCCACCUGGUUGGAAGGGUGGUGACGGUAGUGGUAGAAGAAGCACCGGCUAACUACGUG
rnacentral:rRNA from 1 species